UAUCAAAACCUAAUAGCGAAAUUAACAUAACUUUUUAUGGGAUUAGUUUUUAGAUUAUUUAUAGUCUAUUAAUUCAAUCCCGGGGCGUUCUAUAUAGUUAUGUAUAAUAAUAUUUAUAUUAUUUAUACCUCUAACUAGAGCGUACCUUGAGCAUAUAUGCUGUGACCCGAAAGAUGGUGAACUAUACUUGAUCAGGUUGAAGUCAGGGGAAACCCUGAUGGAAGACCGAAACAGUUCUGACGUGCAAAUCGAUUGUCAGAAUUGAGUAUAGGGGCGAAAGACCAAUCGAACCAUCUAGUAGCUGGUUCCCUCCGAAGUUUCCCUCAGGAUAGCUGGUGCAUUUAAAUAUUAUGUAAAAUAAUCUUAUCUGGUAAAGCGAAUGAUUAGAGGCCUUAGGGUCGAAACGACCUUAACCUAUUCUCAAACUUUAAAUGGGUAAGAACCUCACCUUUCUUGGUAUGAAGGUUGUGGUUGUGAUAUAAUGUGCCCAGUGGGCCACUUUUGGUAAGCAGAACUGGCGCUGUGGGAUGAACCAAACGUAAUGUUACGGUGCCCAAAUUAACAACUC
rnacentral:rRNA from 1 species